AGGGGGCGGCAACAUGUGCCACCUGCCGCCGAUGGCCAGCAACAACUCGCUGAAUAAUCUCUGCGGAUUGUCGCUGGGCAGCGGUGGUAGUGAUGAUCUCAUGAACGAUCCUCGGGC
ensembl:ncRNA mir-4956 mir-4956 stem loop